GACGAACGCUGGCGGCGUGCCUAACACAUGCAAGUCGAGCGGAGACAAUAGCAAUAUUGUCUUAGCGGCGGACGGGUGAGUAACGCGUGGGCAACCUGCCUUUCACAGGGGGAUAACACUGGGAAACUAGUGCUAAUACCGCAUAACGUAUCGGGAUGGCAUCAUUCUGAUACCAAAGGAGCAAUCCGGUGAAAGAUGGGACCGCGUCCGAUUAGCUUGUUGGUGGGGUAGAGGCCUACCAAGGCGCCGAUCUGUAGCGGGUCUGAGAGGAUGAUCCGCCACACUGGGACUGAGACACGGCCCAGACUCCUACGGGAGGCAGCAGUGGGGAAUAUUGGACAAUGGGCGAAAGCCUGAUCCAGCCAUGCCGCGUGUGUGAAGAAGGCCUUCGGGUUGUAAAGCACUUUAAGCGAGGAGGAAGGGUUAAGUGUUAAUAGUACUUAACUUUGACGUUACCUACAGAAGAAGCACCGGCUAACUCUGUGCCAGCCGCCGCGGUAACAC
rnacentral:rRNA from 1 species